GCCUGGGUGGCUCAGUCGGUUGAGCUUCUGACUUCGGCUCCGGUCAGGAUCUCGGGGAUCGUGAGUUCAAGCCCCACGUCGGGCU
rnacentral:tRNA from 1 species